rnacentral:rRNA from 1 species
UACGGAGGGUGCAAGCGUUAUCCGGAUUCACUGGGUUUAAAGGGUGCGUAGGUGGGCAGGUAAGUCAGUGGUGAAAUCUCCGGGCUUAACUCGGAAACUGCCAUUGAUACUAUCUUUCUUGAAUACCGUGGAGGCCAGCGGAAUAUGUCAUGUAGCGGUGAAAUGCUUAGAUAUGACAUAGAACACCAAUUGCGAAGGCAGCUUACUACACAAUGAUUGACGCUGAGGCACGAAAGCGUGGGGAUCAAACAGG